rnacentral:rRNA from 1 species
AUUUACCUCCACAAGCGAGCCCGCCAACUUUUUUUCCCGGGGGGGAACGACUAGACUGAUCCUUCGGGGCACAUUAACGGCGUCUAGCGGCGGACGGGUGAGUAAUGCCUGAGAAAUUGCCCUGAUGUGGGGGAUAACCCUUGGAAACGAUGGCUAAUACCGCAUGAUGCCUAUUGGCCAAAGAGGGGGACCUUCGGGCCUCUCUCGUCGGGAUAUGCCUAGGUGGGAUUAGCUAGUUGGUGAGGUAAGGGCUCACCAAGGCGACGAUCCCUAGCUGGUCUGAGAGGAUGAUCAGCCACACUGGAACUGAGACACGGUCCAGACUCCUACGGCAGGCAGCAGUGGGGAAUAUUGCACAAUGGGCGCAAGCCUGAUGCAACCAUGCCGCGUGUGUGAAGAAGGCCUUCGGGUUGUAAAGUACUUUCACUCAUGAGGAAGGUGGUGUCGUUAAUACCGACUUCCUUUGACCUUAGCUACAUAACAAGCACCGGCUAACUCCGUGAGCAGGUAUUACAUCUCGAAUCUACUCGGCUGUAAGGCAUGCAAGGUAGUUAGUAUGGUCAGAUAUGUGAUAUGACCGAGGCUCCACACGUGCGGAUAUUAGCUAUAUGAAAUUAGCAUGACUAAGAGCUACUGUUGAAGGGGCGUAGACAUUCAAGUGUACGUGGUGAAAUGCGUAGAGAUCUGAAGGAAUACCGGUCGGGAAGGCGGCCCCCCUGGACAGAUACUGACACUCAGAUGUGAAAGCGUGGGGGAGCAUACCGGAUUAGAUUCCUUGGUAGUUCACGCCGUAUACGAUGUAUACUUUGGAGGUUGUGGCCCUGAGCCGUGGCUUUCGGAGGUAACGCGUUAAGUAGACCGCCUGGGGAGUACGGUCGCAAGAUUAAAACUCAAAUGAAUUGACGGGGGCCCGCACAAGGGGUGGAGCAUGUGGUUUAAUUUGAUGCAACUCGAAGAACCUUACGUACUCUUGACAUCCAGAGAACUUUCCAGAGAUGGAUUGGUGCCUUAGGGAACUCUGAGACAGGUGCUGCACGGCUGUCGUCAGCUAAUGUUGUGAAAUGUUGGGUUAAGUCCCGCAACGAGCGCAACCCUUAUCCUUGUUUGCCAGCGAGUAAUGUCGGGAACUCCAGGGAGACUGCCGGUGAUAAACCGGAGGAAGGUGGGGACGACGUCAAGUCAUCGUGGCCCUUACGAGUAGGGCUACACACGUGCUACAAUGGCGCAUACAGAGGGCGGCCAACUUGCGAAAGUGAGCGAAUCCCAAAAAGUGGGUCGUAGUCUCGACUGGAGUGUGCAACUGGACUCCAUGAAGUCGGAAUCGCUUGUAAUCGUGGAUUCGAAUGCCACGGGGAAUACGUUCCCGGGCCUUGUACACACCGCCCGUCACACCAUGGGAGUGGGCUGCAAAAGAAGUAGGUAGUUAACCUCUCCGGAUUUGGACAACAGAGGGGUUGGCCCGAGCUUCCG